GGAGCAAGUGGUCAGCCCGCCAGGCUCCCCCAGGCAUGAGAAACAGGCUGCUGUGGCUUUUGCUUGUUCUACAAAGUCAGCUCUGUAGCUAAAGGAGCUUCAUCUUCGCCCCUGCUGGUGGAGGUGCCGCCAGGUGGUCCCUGGACCCAGGGUGAUGCGUGGAGAUCUGGCAGGUGGGACCCUGGACUCCAGAAGGGGGACGUGAGCUGUGGGCUUUUAAAAAAUUGUGUUCAGAGGCACAGAUCGUAGAAUUGCUUCUCCCUUGCAUUAAAUAAGAAGUUAAGACAUAAAUAUCAGAAAAACAAAGAUGGCGGCUCAUAGAAAAGAAAACAGAGAU